CCUACGGGUGGCAGCAGUGAGGAAUAUUGGUCAAUGGCCGGAAGGCUGAACCAGCCAUGCCGCGUGAAGGUCAGUGCCCUAUGGGCGUUAAACUUCUUUUGUGCGGGAGCAAUAAUGGUCACGUGUGGCCAGACGAGAGUACCGUACGAAUAAGCAUCGGCUAACUCCGUGCCAGCAGCCGCGGUAAUACGGGGGAUGCAAGCGUUAUCCGGAUUUAUUGGGUUUAAAGGGUGCGUAGGCUGUGAGGUAAGUCAGCGGUGAAAUGCCCCCGCUCAACGGGGUGAAGUGCCAUUGAUACUGCCUGGCUGGAGUGCGGAUGAGGUGGGAGGAAGGUGUGGUGUAGCGGUGAAAUGCAUAGAUAUCACAGAGAACACCGAGUGCGAAGGCAUCUCACGAAUCCGCGAUUGACGCUGAGGCACGAAAGCGUGGGUAUCAAACAGGAUUAGAUACCCUUGUAGUC
rnacentral:rRNA from 1 species